rnacentral:rRNA from 1 species
AGUGAACGCUGGCGGUAGGCCUAACACAUGCAAGUCGAACGGCAGCACAGUAAGAGCUUGCUCUUACGGGUGGCGAGUGGCGGACGGGUGAGGAAUACAUCGGAAUCUACUUUUUCGUGGGGGAUAGCGUAGGGAAACUUACGCUAAUACCGCAUACGACCUACGGGUGAAAGCAGGGGAUCUUCGGACCUUGCGCGAUUGAAUGCGCCGAUGUCGGAUUAGCUAGUUGGCGGGGUAAAGGCCCACCAAGGCGACGAUCCGUAGCUGGUCUGAGAGGAUGAUCAGCCACACUGGAACUGAGACACGGUCCAGACGCCUACGGGAGGCAGCAGUGGGGAAUAUUGGACAAUGGGCGCAAGCCUGAUCCAGCCAUACCGCGUGGGUGAAGAAGGCCUUCGGGUUGUAAAGCCCUUUUGUUGGGAAAGAAAAGCAGCAGGUUAAUACCCCGCUGUUCUGACGGUACCCAAAGAAUAAGCACCGGCUAACUUCGUG